rnacentral:rRNA from 1 species
GAUGAACGCUGGCGGCGUGCCUAAUACAUGCAAGUCGAGCGAAUGACGAGGAGCUUGCUCCUCUGAUUUAGCGGCGGACGGGUGAGUAACACGUGGGUAACCUGCCUGUAAGACGGGGAUAACUCCGGGAAACCGGAGCUAAUACCGGAUGAUAACGAGAAGCGCCUGCUUCUUUUUUGAAAGUCGGUUUCGGCUGACGCUUACAGAUGGGCCCGCGGCGCAUUAGCUAGUUGGUGAGGUAACGGCUCACCAAGGCAACGAUGCGUAGCCGACCUGAGAGGGUGAUCGGCCACACUGGGACUGAGACACGGCCCAGACUCCUACGGGAGGCAGCAGUAGGGAAUCUUCGGCAAUGGACGAAAGUCUGACCGAGCAACGCCGCGUGAGCGAUGAAGGCCUUCGGGUCGUAAAGCUCUGUUGUCAGAGAAGAACAAGUACCGGAGUAACUGCCGAUACCUUGACGGUACCUGACCAGAAAGCCACGGCUAACUACGUGCCAGCCGCCGCAGUAAAAC